rnacentral:rRNA from 1 species
AGCAGUAGCCGCGGUAAUACGAAGGGGGCUAGCGUUGUUCGGAUUUACUGGGCGUAAAGGGUGCGUAGGCGGAUUGUUAAGUCAGGGGUGAAAUCCCGAGGCUCAACCUCGGAACUGCCUUUGAUACUGGCGAUCUUGAGUCCGGGAGAGGUGAGUGGAACUGCGAGUGUAGAGGUGAAAUUCGUAGAUAUUCGCAAGAACACCGGUGGCGAAGGCGGCUCACUGGCCCGGUACUGACGCUGAGGCACGAAAGCGUGGGGAGCAAACAGGAUUAGAUACCCCUGUAGUCCCUGUCUCUUAUAA